UGCACAGAGAAGGAAGAGAUGCACAAAGGCCACAACUCUCCACUGAACUAACAAGAUCAGACAAUCGCCCAGGCUGCCUAAAUAUUCAGAAUUAGAUUAAACCCAACAUUUUCCUGAAGCCAUAUCUUUUGUAUUUUCUAUUACAGGUUUCACUUGAGUUUCUGGAAAACGUAACUGGCAGGAUCAAUUCAAGCACAACUGGGUCUCGCUGCAAAGAGUUACAACUGGGUCUCCAGCUGAAAAGCCCAAGAUACAGCCUGAGACCUCCUCUAUGCAGUGUUAGCUUGGGGAAUUCAGUGCUAUGAGGAUGGGGAGUAAAAUGGGCAACAUGUAGACAGGGCUCAGGGAGAAUGGACAAUAAUCAAAGUCAGCCUGCUCCUUUUUAUUUAGGCUUGGCAGGGGAGGGACGAAGAGGGAGUAUGAAGUUCAUGGCACCUACUGGCAUGGGAAAGAGUAAGCAAAGUAAAUGCUUCUCAAGGACCCUCUAUGCCAUGCUUUCCGUUCUGCCUUCAAAUGGAGAAAGGAUCUUCAGGAGACCUUCCAACUUGAUGCUUCCUUACAUGCUUAUGCAGGGAAAGGAAGGAACAAGGUUGGACCAGUGUUUAAGAAAGAAGGGACUCCAGUAGCCACUGAAGUCAGUUUGGAAGUGAGGACAUGCAGAAUAGCUGAGGAGAUGCACAGCAAUGUGCAUGAUCAGAUUCAUGGACCAAAAACGGGGAAGAGCUGCCACUGUUUUACACAGAAGGAUUUAUCUGUGGAUACAACAACCAAUCUGAACAGGACAGUUGGAAACAAGGGGAGAUUAGAACUAUUACAACAAAACCAACACAAAAAUAUACAAUCUUACUUUUACACUAAGCAAAUCCAAGCCCACAAAUUCCAAUUUGCUUCUCCAGUUAACAUUGUUUAUUCAGAGUUCUAGGCCCCACACAGAUUUCGAAAGACCAUCUACAAGUUCCAGUGUAUCAAUAGCCACAGGACUCUACAGCCUCACUAAAAUUGUCCUUCUUCAGUCCACCUCAUAUCUACAAACUUCCUCUUCCAUCUGCGCACUCACCUAAUCAACACACCGCUCCAGAAAAAGGCUGGGAGCCCUGCAGCAUGCUUCCUGGUCAACAAACACAAGUUAUUUAAAAUCAAGCUUGGAAAGUAUUCUUGAGGCAAAAGUUCUUAUUGCAAAUGCCCUUAUACCAGCCCCCUCCACUUAAACAGAGAAGCUGAUAGAUCAAGCAGCAAAUGUGAUCACAACUCCUAUGGUACCCCACAAGGAAAAUGGCUGUCUCCUGGGGUAGUCAGGACCCAACAUAGCCCGUUAAACCUCAGCCAGAAACCAGCUGGCAGCCAGCGCAAACUAGGCUACCCAGGUGUAACAUGCUCCCGCUAAGAAGUGCCUGCAUUAGGCAGCUGCUUUCUGUACUAGCUGAAGUUUCCAGGAGUGGCCCACUGUAGAGCACAACUCAGCUUUCUAGUCUGUAAGUGACAAAAACAUGUGUGACUGAGGACAAACAAACAAACACAACAAGCACAGAUUGAUAAAGGUCCUCUGCCCCUGCUGCUACCAGGUCAGGAAGCAGACAAUGAUCCAACACUAUUCCCAGGCAGUGAACCCGUGUAACAACUAUUGAAGCAGUUGACAAUAUCUUUGCUGCUUGUUCUUGUUACUCCCUCUGUCUUUAAGAAUCAUCUCAGCCUUACCAGGAUUGCGUCUGAGCCAAACAGCUCUCAUCCGAGCCCCAUGCUCCGCUACACACUGAAUAAACUGCUGAACUGCACCCUCUAGGCCCAAUAAGAUGGAUACUUCAGUUGCAGCUACAUAGUGGAAGAACUGCUCUGCCCCAACACCUAACUAAAUCCCGUAAUACAGGGGUUCUCAACCUUUAUCUUUCUGAGCCCCCACCUCUACCCUCGCAACAUGUUAUAAAAACUCCACGGCCCAGCUGUGCCACAACAACUGUUUUUCUGCAUCUAAAAGCCAGGGCUGGCGUUAGGGGGUAGCAAGGAGGGAUAUUGCCUGGGACCUCACACCACAGGGGGCACCGCAAAGCUAAGUUGCUCAGGCUUUGGCUUCAGCCCCAGAUGGUGGAGCUCGGGACCUGGGCUGCAGCUUUCUGCCCUGGGCCCCAGCAAGUCUAAUGCCAGCCCUGCUUGGUGGACCCCGAAACCUGCUCACAGCCCCUCAGGGGGCUCUGGCACCUUGGUUGAGAACGACUGCCUUAACAGACCAGUGUCAAAUAUUCCUUUCCGCUUUAUGAGCUUUAUGUUCUGUUACAUAAUCGGAUCACAAAUUCAGGGUUCAGUUUAAGGUUAGAGUUAGAAUUCAGAAUUCUUCCCACCCCCUUUUCAGAAGUGGGCCCAGAAACUUAAUUUUUUUAAAAAUCAGCAAAACUUGCUAUAGAUCUGAUCAACAAGUUGCAUUACCUCUGGUUUCUGUGCAUUUUUAACUUAAGCAGGCUCUUACGAACGAUAAAACUACCAAUUUCAAAUUCUUACAAAUCAGGGUUAUUUUCAGACAGACAGGACUUUUGAUCCAUGGGGAACCCCAAGCCUUGAGGAAGGGUUGGAAAAACUUUAGCCUAC